rnacentral:SRP_RNA from 1 species
UUCUUCCCGAAGCGAUGGGUCGCACCGUGGCUCGGAUCCUGUGCGAUUUCAGCCUGCGAACCGCGUCAGGGCCGGAAGGCAGCAGCGCUAAGUAGAUACUGACAUGUGCCGCAGGUCUCUCCGGGCCGCGGUGGGACCCAUCGCUUCGGGAAG